GGGACCCUUCAGUCCUCAGGCUGAUGCUUUAUCCACUGAGCCAAACCAGCCAAGGCAUGAGGGGUUUCUGAGUCCAUAUGAUUUUGUUUUGAAAGUAAACUGCUAAUUUUAUCCAACUGAAAAAUAUAUAACUGAUAAAAGCCUGCUAUAAAACCUAUAUGAUCAUGGAUAGAAACGUGGAUUUUUACUAUUAGGACUUCUUUCAAUGAGUAGUGAAAGGAGAUUAUGGAUAAUUUAAUCUAGUCCUAACCUUACUCCAAAUUUUCAGACGAGGACUUCUUACUCCUUUCUGAAUAUUUCUACACAGAUAGCUUAGUGGCCUUCAAAAUCAAAGUGUCUCAAAUAAGCCUCAUAACCUUCCCUAAAACAGAUCAGUGUCUAGUAUGUAAAUUAAUAGUAUCACUCAAUUUCUCAGUCUCCUUAAAUAGCAGCUUCUCAUCUUUACAUCCACUUUGUUUCUCUCCCAUUCCCACUGCCAUCAUUUCACAUCAAGUCCUGUCAUUUGCCUGGAAUCUUUUCAUAGUCAUCAUCAUCUUGUGUUUUUUUUUAUUGCCCAGAAAUAUUCCUUUACUUAAUAACAACAUCAUUGUUAUCAUUAAUACUUAUUGAGCACUUACUUUGCAAUAGGUCCUAUGCUAUACACUUUAAUAGAAAUCAAUGCUGAAAUAUUCUCAUACCAUCCUUAAAUCUUUCACUUAUAAUAUUUGCAUUUUUAAAGGAAUUUGAAAAAUUUUAUUUAAUGUCAAGCCAGGAAUAGUACCUGUCAUGGAAUGAAUGCUUAUAUAGCAGUCGUUUAUACCCCAUGACUCUCCUGACUGAAUCAGGCAGCCAAUCUAAGGCUGGCCAGUGUGAAAGCUAUGUCCAAAUAGGGACAAUGACAUUUAACAAACCUAAUCAGAGUCUCUCAAAGUGAAUGUGAGAUACACAGGAAAUGGGGCAGUUGGUAAUGAGAAAAGAAGCAGACAGAAUGGCUAAGCCUCAAAAUGAUGGAUCCCUAAAACAGGGAUUCAUAGGCUAAGAGGGCUAUAAAGGCAUAAGAAAACAGCCCAUUCCUCAAAACUACCUUGCAUUCUGCAUAACCUUCUAAUUCAUUUGUGUGGCUAAGAUAUUCUGUAAUUUUCUUCUAGGCCUGGCCACAAGCCUAAGAUGCCUAUUUUCCUUAUUUUCACUUUUUGCCUUGUGAUAAAGUUCUCAUCAUAUAGAUAAUUUAACUGAAUGCCUAUUCUUUCAGUCAAGAGUCUAAUGCAGAAAUGAUCUUGCUUAAUGUCAUCCUUGCAACCACCUUUUAAUAUGCGAAGGGACACUGGCUUCUUAACCAGACUCAAUUUCUGGCUUUCUCCCUUUCAUUAUAUCCUCAAUAUAAUUUAGCUACUACAAGAGAAUUCUUUCUAAAUCAGAUAUGGUUAUGCCAUGCUUCUCAAAAGUCUCCAAGGGCUUCUACAACCUAUAGAAUAGAGUUCCACUUCUGGAGAAGGGCAAAGUCGCCGAAACCGUCCCUUUUUAGCUUCACCCCUUACUCUGCUCUUCUCCCAUACAUCCUACCACACAUUAGCUCCUCUGGACAAGCUGCCCAGACUACAAUGACCCCCCUUUACGGCUUUAUGCUUUUGGUCACGUUGUUCCCUUGGCUGGCAUUUGCUUCCCUAGUUUCUAUGCAUAUACCCAAAUUAGGUCCAUAUAUUUUCUAGUUGCCUUUCUAGACCUGUUUUCCUCCACGCUUCAUCUACUCCAUGUGCAGGGAGGCUGACCUGUAUGGACUCUAUCAAUGGGCUACUUUGCUUUUUAAUUGGCUUUGGCUAAUUGGAGGACAGAAGAGUUAAGUCAUGGUAUUUUAUUCUCCCAGCUCUCUCCUUGCAAUGGCUAAAGGCUGGCUGUGCCUGUCUCCUGUUGGGGCCCUCUCAAAGUUUCAGCUCCGUAACAUUUCCUCUCCUUGCUCCUUGGGGUCAGGGGGUAAUAGAAACUUCCUGCAGAGACUAGUUCUGGUGCACUAUGGUAUCCCCUUACUGACUUUUCUAAACAUUGUCUACACCUUUGUAAACGGUCUUUUUAUUAACCUCCUCUUGAUUACCAGUUUAAGUAUAUCUGUUUCCUGCUAUAAUAAAUGUUAUCAAUUGAAAA